rnacentral:rRNA from 1 species
CAGCCGCCGCGGGAAAACGGAGGGAGCUAGCGUUGUUCGGAAUUACUGGGCGUAAAGCGCGCGUAGGCGGUUACUCAAGUCAGAGGUGAAAGCCCGGGGCUCAACCCCGGAACUGCCUUUGAAACUAGGUGACUAGAAUCUUGGAGAGGUCAGUGGAAUUCCGAGUGUAGAGGUGAAAUUCGUAGAUAUUCGGAAGAACACCAGUGACGAAGGCGACUGACUGGACAAGUAUUGACGCUGAGGUGCGAAAGCGUGGGGAGCAAACAGGAUUAGAGACCCCAGUAGUCCCUGUCUCUUAUAC